UACGAAGGGGGCUAGCGUUGCUCGGAAUCACUGGGCGUAAAGGGUGCGUAGGCGGGUCUUUAAGUCAGGGGUGAAAUCCUGGAGCUCAACUCCAGAACUGCCUUUGAUACUGAAGAUCUUGAGUUCGGGAGAGGUGAGUGGAACUGCGAGUGUAGAGGUGAAAUUCGUAGAUAUUCGCAAGAACACCAGUGGCGAAGGCGGCCAUCUGGACCACAACUGACGCUUAGGCGCGAAAGCGUGGGGAGCAAACAGG
rnacentral:rRNA from 1 species